ensembl:lncRNA
AACAGCUGACCCAUGAGCAGCCUGCAAUAGGAGCUUUCUUCUCUUUGGGGGAAGGAGAGUGACCCUGUGGACAGUUUCAGGACAUGUCACAGGUUUGACCACCUCUGUGGCUAAGGCACCUGGGUCCAAUUAUCCAGGGCCCCAUCUACCUAGAAGAAAAAACUGCAUUUGACUCUCCCAGACUGACUGCACUCUCACCAGACUCUCAUCCUCUUUCUCACAUGAACUUAAAGGAAUGCAAGUGGUAGAGGGGACCAUGGCUGUUGAAAUACACCCUCUAGGAUUUCAUCACUGUUUCAUGUGUUAAAACAGCCUUAAGUUUGAUCAUCAGCAACUUACUCCUCUGCACAGGUUGUCCUGGUAAAAGAAUGAGAUGCUUAUUUUUUUCCCAACUUCACUGAGAUGCAACUGACAUAUAGCAAUGGGAGUUCAUGGUUUCCAGUCUUACUUUUAAGUCCCUAAGCCAUUUCCAGUGAGGUGGAUACUAUUAUGUAUAAUACUCCUGACUCAGAGGUGCUGGAGUCACCAGUGGUCAGUAGUAAACUGAGCUAAACAGGGAUAUUCUUGGUCAAGCACCCAACAGCCUGCCCAGGACACUCACUGACCAGAGACUCUUGUUCCUCUGCUCCUCACUCUCCCUUUGUAUCAGCCUGGUCCACUUGGCAGUCGUCACCUGCCCAUCAGGGGCAGCUGCUGCUGCUGCUAAGUCGCUUCAGUUGUGUCCAUCAGGAGCAGCAGAAGAGCACAUUGUGAUCUCAUUCAUUUCGAGAGCAAAGACUGCUGUUUUAUGAACACUGGUCACCUCUGACUUUCUCCUCUACCAUCUAAGCCAACUCAGAAG